ACCGGGGAGGGUCAUUGGAAACUGGGGAACUUGAGUGCAGAAGAGGAGAGUGGAAUUCCACGUGUAGCGGUGAAAUGCGUAGAGAUGUGGAGGAACACCAGUGGCGAAGGCGACUCUCUGGUCUGUAACUGACGCUGAGGAGCGAAAGCGUGGGGAGCGAACAGGAUUAGAUACCCUGGUAGUCCACGCCGUAAACGAUGAGUGCUAAGUGUUAGGGGGUUUCCGCCCCUUAGUGCUGCAGCUAACGCAUUAAGCACUCCGCCUGGGGAGUACGGUCGCAAGACUGAAACUCAAAGGAAUUGACGGGGGCCCGCACAAGCGGUGGAGCAUGUGGUUUAAUUCGAAGCAACGCGAAGAACCUUACCAGGUCUUGACAUCCUCUGACGAUCCUAGAGAUAGGACGUCCCCUUCGGGGGCAGAGUGACAGGUGGUGCAUGGUUGUCGUCAGCUCGUGUCGUGAGAUGUUGGGUUAAGUCCCGCAACGAGCGCAACCCUUGAUCUUAGUUGCCAGCAUUCAGUUGGGCACUCUAAGGUGACUGCCGGUGACAAACCGGAGGAAGGUGGGGAUGACGUCAAAUCAUCAUGCCCCUUAUGACCUGGGCUACACACGUGCUACAAUGGACAGAACAAAGGGCAGCGAAACCGCGAGGUUA
rnacentral:rRNA from 1 species